rnacentral:rRNA from 1 species
GACGAACGCUGGCGGCGUGCCUAAUACAUGCAAGUCGAACGCAGUUUCGAACGGGUGAGUAACGCGUAGGUAACUGCCUCAUAGCGGGGGAUACCUCUUUGAAACGAUAGCUAAUACCCCAUACUUUUAGAUGGACCUGCGUGUUAUUAGCUAGUUUGUUGGGUAAAGGCCCACCAAGGCGACGAUACAUAGCCGGCCUGAGAGGGUGAACGGCCCAAUUGGGACUGGGACACGGCCCAGACUCCUACGGGAGGCAGCAGUAGGGAAUCUUCGGCAAUGGACGGAAGUCUGACCGAGCAACGCCGCGUGAGUGAAGAAGGGUUUCGGGUUGUAAAGCUCUGUUGUUAGAGAAGCGGUAACUAACAAGAAAGGGACGGCUAACUACGUGCCAGCAGCCGCGGUAAUUC